rnacentral:sRNA from 1 species
AUGACAAUGAGGAGGAAUCAGAUGAAGUGGAGGAUAACGACAAUGACUCUGAAAUGGAGAGGCCUGUAAAUAGAGGAGGCAGCCGAAGUCGCAGAGUUAGCUUAAGUGAUGGCAGCGAUAGUGAAAGCAGUUCUGCUUCUUCACCCCUACAUCACGAACCUCCACCGCCCUUAUUAAAAACCAACAACAACCAGAUCGUGAACCUUAUAGAAGAAACUGGACACUUUCAUAUCACAAACACAACAUUUGAUUUUGAUCUUUGCUCGCUGGACAAAACCACAGUCCGCAAACUACAGAGUUACCUGGAAACAUCUGGAACAUCCUGAGGAUAUGAAAACUGGAUGCAUCAAGAACAAUUGUAUUUUUUUUUUGUUUUUUUUUUUUGGUUGUGAUUUUUUGUUGUUGUUGUUUAUAUGAAAACACUCAAAAUGAUGCAACCAAAAGGGAAAAAAUAAAAAUCAAACAACCUUC